UGGCGGACGGGUGAGUAACGCGUGGGUAACCUGCCUUACACAGGGGGAUAACACCUGGAAACAGGUGCUAAUACCGCAUAAGCGCACAGGGCCGCAUGGCCCGGUGUGAAAAACUCCGGUGGUGUAAGAUGGACCCGCGUCUGAUUAGCUUGUUGGCGGGGUAGAGGCCCACCAAGGCGACGAUCAGUAGCCGGCCUGAGAGGGUGGACGGCCACAUUGGGACUGAGAUACGGCCCAGACUCCUACGGAAGGCAGCAG
rnacentral:rRNA from 1 species